rnacentral:rRNA from 1 species
UUGCUUUUGGUGUUUCUAGCGGCGGACGGGUGAGUAACGCGUGAGCAAUCUGUCUCAGACAGGGGGAUAACGCAGCGAAAGUUGCGCUAAUACCGCAUAAGACCACAGAGCCACAUGGCAUAGGGGUCAAAGGAGCAAUCCGGUCUGAGGUGAGCUCGCGUCCCAUUAGGUAGUUGGUGAGGUAACGGCCCACCAAGCCUGCGAUGGGUAGCCGACCUGAGAGGGUGAUCGGCCACACUGGAACUGAGACACGGUCCAGACUCC